GGGACAUAUAGAAAACAUUUUCUACUGUAUAUUGGGAGGGAAAGAUUGGUAUUACCUCAACAUUGGCGGGGACACGCCCCCCCCAAAAGAAUACGUGGUUACGCCCAUGGUUGUAGGAGACACAUUUUUCCUCAGGAGUCACAACACAGCAGACACGGGGUUUUCUUUCUUCAAUUUGAACUUUUCUCAGGAGUUUAAGAUGUGUCGUUAUCUCUAGCAUCCCUGCUGGUGCCUCUACAAAUUACACCUGCAACAUGAGGGGUCGUCAUGUGAACAUCAUCAUUCCCAAUGUUAUCCAGGCUCUCACGCUCUGUGAAGUGGAAGUCUAUGGGGUUCCAAGUUACACUUUUAUAUCCAGUUCACAAUUUCAUAUACAUUUGAAGUCAAAUUAAGUUUUACAACAGCCGCUAAAUAUCAAUACUGUUAAUUUUUUUUAGUGCCUGUUACUAAGAGGGCAUUUCUGAGAUUGAAGUUUAACAGCAGUGAGGAUCUUAUGAACCCUUCUGUGAGGGACAAAAUUCUUCAAAAGAUGAUAUCUGCCAAUGUCCAGCCUUCAGUGCGUCAGAUCUGUUGGACUAAGGAAC
ensembl:lncRNA